rnacentral:lncRNA from 1 species
GAAUCGCUUGAACCUGGGAGGCGGAGGUUGCAGCGAGCCGAGAUCGUGCCAUUGCACUCCAGCCUGGGCAACAGAGCGAGACUCCGUCUCAAAAAAAAAAAAAAAAAAAAAAAAAACCAUCUUAUUCCGAGCAUUCCAGUAACUUUUUUGUGUAUGUACUUAGCUGUACUAUAAGUAGUUGGUUUGUAUGAGAUGGUUAAAAAGGCCAAAGAUAAAAGGUUUCUUUUUUUUCCUUGUCUGUGAAGUUGCUGUUUAUUUUUUUUUGGCCUGUUUGAUGUAUGUGUGAAACAAUGUUGUCCAACAAUAAACAGGAAUUUUAUUUUGCUGAGCUGUUCUAAAACAAACAAAAACAAAAAAAACCUCAUCUCUAAAAAAACAACAAAAAAAUUAGCUGCAUGUGGUAGUGUGUGCCUGUAGUCUCAGCUACUCGGGAGGCUGAAGUGGGAGGAUCACCUGAGCCUGGAAGGUGGAGGUUGCAGUGAGCCAAGAUCGCGUCACUGCACUCCAGCCUGGAUGACAGAGCAAGAGCCUGUCUCCACAAAAAAAA